GUGUAGUUGGAAAAUAGCGGGUACCUGUCUAGGUCUUGACUGUUGAGUGCGUGUUCUUACCCAUAAAAAAAUUUAUUAAUUGAUGUUUCCAUUACACCUACAUAUUGAAUUAACAAUCUGAGCAUAAAUCACUCCUUAGCUUGACACUCAUCUUGAAGCCUUGGUAACAGAAAGCUCCACGUUUAUGUUGUUGCCUCAGAAACUGAAGGAGCAGCUUUGAUCAAGAAUCAUGACUCCUGGAAUUCGAUGUAUUUGUGUUUUCAAGAGACCCCAACUAAUUUUUCAAGCCUGAUCAUCCAUCUCAACUGUAAAUUCUUUCCGUUAUGAAGAAGUUUGAGUAGUUGUUAUUCUCUACUGUUUGCUCCUAAUUUCAAUUUUCAACUGAAUAUAUAUAUAUUUUUUCACUA